UUAGGAACUAGACAGGGCCGAGCCAACACAAUAGAGUGGAGCUACAUCGACCUGCCAAGGGUGCAAGGUGGUGGCCUCGACAACCCUUUCACCGAGCAGGAAGUGUGGCAAGCAAUCAAGCAAUCGCCUGGCCCAGACGGCUUCUCCGGCGUUUUCUUCAGAACUUGCUGGCAAACCCUAAAAGGGGAUAUCAUGGCGGCCUUCCACCAGUUCUACCAUCUCGCCGGGGGUAAUUUCCAGAUGCUCAACACAGCUGUCGUAGUUCUCCUUCCAAAGAAAGACGACGCAGCCACAAUCACAGACUACAGGCCCAUUAGUCUGAUACACUCCAUAGCCAAAUUGAUAUCGAAAGUGCUCUCUCUGAUUAACAACGGGUGA
rnacentral:rRNA from 1 species